GCCCUCGUGGCACAAACAGUUAAGCGUUCGACUGCAAACCGAAAGGUUGGUGGUUUGAACCCACCCAGCAGCU
rnacentral:tRNA from 1 species